rfam:Salmo salar isolate Sally breed double haploid chromosome ssa01, whole genome shotgun sequence.
UGCACACAUGAAUGUAAGUCACUUUGGAUAAAAGUAUCUGCUAAAUGGCAUAUA